rnacentral:rRNA from 1 species
UACGUAGGGGGCAAGCGUUGUCCGGAAUCAUUGGGCGUAAAGCGCACGUAGGCGGAUUGCUAAGUCAGGGGUGAAAUCCUGGAGCUCAACUCCAGAACUGCCUUUGAUACUGGUGAUCUUGAGUCCGGGAGAGGUGAGUGGAACUGCGAGUGUAGAGGUGAAAUUCGUAGAUAUUCGCAAGAACACCAGUGGCGAAGGCGGCUCACUGGCCCGGUACUGACGCUGAGGUGCGAAAGCGUGGGGAGCGAACGGG